rnacentral:rRNA from 1 species
GGAGCAAGACCGCGUGAGGGAGGAAGGCUCUUGGGUUGUAAACCUCUUUUCUCAGGGAAGAAGCUCUGACGGUACCUGAGGAAUCAGCCUCGGCUAACUCCGUGCCAGCAGCCGCGGUAAUACGGAGGAGGCAAGCGUUAUCCGGAAUGAUUGGGCGUAAAGCGUUCGUAGGUGGCAAUUCAAGUCUGCUGUCAAAGACAGUAGCUCAACUACUGCAAGGCAGUGGAAACUGAAUAGCUAGAGUGCGGUAGGGGCAGAGGGAAUUCCCGGUGUAGCGGUGAAAUGCGUAGAGAUCGGGAAGAACACCGGUGGCGAAAGCGCUCUGCUGGGCCGCAACUGACACUGAGGGACGAAAGCUAGGGGAGCGAAUGGGAUUAGAUACCCCAGUAGUC